GAGCCGCGAGCCGAGACAAGCCGAAGACCGAGCCGAGCCGAGUUGAGCCGAGCCGAGCCGAGGCCAAGCCGAGCCGAGCCGAGUUGAGCCGAGUUGUGAGCCGAGGCCAAGCCGAGCCGAGCCGAGAGUGAGCCGAGCCGAGCCGAGCCACCUAAGCCUUCCUCCCUCCACUUCGGGUCACGGUGAGUCUUCGGUAAGGAUUGUUUUGAUGAAUUCCCUAAUGUUACCACAUCCGAUUCGAGUUUGAAUGUUGGAAUAAGAUAUGGCCCUACUUUUCUCCCUUGAAGGUAGUAAGGAGUUGACGCUUAAGUUCUCGGAUCUCGCGGCAGGCUUGUUUGGAGAUAGCUUUCCUUUCCUUGGGUUGAUCCGUUGAGCGUGGAUUCGAUCGAGGGGCAUAACCGAGUAUUCAAAUUGGGAUUUUAUGUUGAUGGACCUUGAAGUUACGGUUCAGUAUGUAGUAAUCAUUGGUCUGGAUGUUGAUCAUGGAGUUUGGACGGGGAAGGACAGUGAGUCCGGUUUUGGUUAGUUAGUUGAUUGGGUCUAGGGUUUUCCCUAAUGGUGUGCGAACUGGUGAUGCGUAUAGCAACUGAGGGUGUAAUUAUUUAAACCUUUACUAUCUGACUGACAAGCCUAUGGCGGAAUUGUAAUAUGAAUGUCGUUGGGGUGUGACUGUUGUAGACGGUUAGUGUGGACUAAGGGGUAACGGUUAGCUUCAUCUAUGGGGUAGUAUGCCUUACUGAAAUGUGCAUCCUUCGGGAGCACUAGACUGAUGUGUGCAUCCUUCGGGAGCACUAGACUGAUAUGUGCAUCCUUCGGGAGCACUAGACUGAUGUGUGCAUCCUUCGGGAGCACUAGACUGAUGUGUGCAUCCUUCGGGAGCACUAGACUGAUGUGUGCAUCCUUCGGGAGCACUAGACUGAUGUGUGCAUCCUUCGGGAGCACUAGACUGAUGUGUGCAUCCUUCGGGAGCACUAGACUGAUGUGUGCAUCCUUCGGGAGCACUAGACUGAUAUGUGCAUCCUUCGGGAGCACUAGACUGAUAUGUGCGUUCUACGGAAC